rnacentral:rRNA from 1 species
AGAACCCCGGCGAGGGGAGUGAAAAAGAACCUGAAACCGUGUACGUACAAGCAGUAGGAGCCCACUAGUUGGGUGACUGCGUACCUUUUGUAUAAUGGGUCAGCGACUUAUAUUCUGUAGCAAGGUUAACCGUAUAGGGGAGCCGCAGGGAAACCGAGUCUUAACUGGGCGUUAAGUUGCAGGGUAUAGACCCGAAACCCGGUGAUCUAGCCAUGGGCAGGUUGAAGGUUGGGUAACACUAACUGGAGGACCGAACCGACUAAUGUUGAAAAAUUAGCGGAUGACUUGUGGCUGGGGGUGAAAGGCCAAUCAAACCGGGAGAUAGCUGGUUCUCCCCGAAAGCUAUUUAGGUAGCGCCUCGUGAACUCAUCUUCGGGGGUAGAGCACUGUUUCGGCUAGGGGGUCAUCCCGACUUACCAACCCGAUGCAAACUACGAAUACCGAAGAAUGUUAUCACGGGAGACACACGGCGGGUGCUAACGUCCGUCGUGAAGAGGGAAACAACCCAGACCGCCAGCUAAGGUCCCAAAGUCAUGGUUAAGUGGGAAACGAUGUGGGAAGGCACAGACAGCCAGGAUGUUGGCUUAGAAGCAGCCAUCAUUUAAAGAAAGCGUAAUAGCUCACUGGUCGAGUCGGCCUGCGCGGAAGAUGUAACGGGGCUAAACCAUGCACCGAAGCUGCGGCAGCGACACUAUGUGUUGUUGGGUAGGGGAGCGUUCUGUAAGCCGUUGAAGGUGGCCUGUGAGGGUUGCUGGAGGUAUCAGAAGUGCGAAUGCUGACAUAAGUAACGAUAAAGCGGGUGAAAAGCCCGCUCGCCGGAAGACCAAGGGUUCCUGUCCAACGUUAAUCGGGGCAGGGUGAGUCGACCCCUAAGGCGAGGCCGAAAGGCGUAGUCGAUGGGAAACAGGUUAAUAUUCCUGUACUUGGUGUUACUGCGAAGGGGGGACGGAGAAGGCUAUGUUAGCCGGGCGACGGUUGUCCCGGUUUAAGCAUGUAGGCGGAGGUUCCAGGUAAAUCCGGUACCUUUUAACGCUGAGGUGUGAUGACGAGGCACUACGGUGCUGAAGUAACAAAUGCCCUGCUUCCAGGAAAAGCCUCUAAGCAUCAGGUAACAUCAAAUCGUACCCCAAACCGACACAGGUGGUCAGGUAGAGAAUACCAAGGCGCUUGAGAGAACUCGGGUGAAGGAACUAGGCAAAAUGGUGCCGUAACUUCGGGAGAAGGCACGCUGAUAUGUAGGUGAAGCCCCUGCGGGUGGAGCUGAAAUCAGUCGAAGAUACCAGCUGGCUGCAACUGUUUAUUAAAAACACAGCACUGUGCAAACACGAAAGUGGACGUAUACGGUGUGACGCCUGCCCGGUGCCGGAAGGUUAAUUGAUGGGGUUAUCCGUAAGGAGAAGCUCUUGAUCGAAGCCCCGGUAAACGGCGGCCGUAACUAUAACGGUCCUAAGGUAGCGAAAUUCCUUGUCGGGU